rnacentral:rRNA from 1 species
UAGGGAAUUUUGCGCAAUGGACGAAAGUCUGACGCAGCAACGCCGCGUGCAGGAAGAAAGCCUUCGGGUCGUAAACUGCUUUUAAGGGGGACGAUUAUGACGGUACCCCUAGAAUAAGGAUCGGCUAACUCCGUGCCAGCAGCCGCGGUCAUACGGAGGAUCCAAGCGUUAUCCGGAAUUACUGGGCGUAAAGAGUUGCGUAGGCGGCAUAGUAAGCAGGCAGUGAAAGCGUGUGGCUCAACCAUACAGCUAUUGUCUGAACUGCUAAGCUAGAGCACGAGAGAGGUAACUGGAAUUCCUAGUGUAGGAGUGAAAUCCGUAGAUAUUAGGAGGAACACCGAUGGCGUAGGCAGGUUACUGGCUCGUUGCUGACGCUCAGGCACGAAAGCGUGGGGAGCGAACGGGAUUAGAUACCCCCGUAGUCC